rnacentral:rRNA from 1 species
GUAGCGGUGAAAUGCGUAGAGAUUUGGAGGAACACCAGUGGCGAAGGCGACUGUCUGGUCUGUAACUGACACUGAGGCGCGAAAGCGUGGGGAGCAAACAGGGAUUAGAUACCCUGGUAGUCCACGCCGUAAACGAUGAGUGCUAAGUGUUAGGGGGGUUUCCGCCCCUUAGUGCUGCAGCUAACGCAUUAAGCACUCCGCCUGGGGAGUACGGUCGCAAGACUGAAACUCAAAGGAAUUGACGGGGGCCCGCACAAGCGGUGGAGCAUGUGGUUUAAUUCGAAGCAACGCGAAGAACCUUACCAGGUCUUGACAUCCCGUUGACCACUGUAGAGAUAUAGUUUCCCCUUCGGGGGCAACGGUGACAGGUGGUGCAUGGUUGUCGUCAGCUCGUGUCGUGAGAUGUUGGGUUAAGUCCCGCAACGAGCGCAACCCUUGAUCUUAGUUGCCAUCAUUUAGUUGGGCACUCUAAGGUGACUGCCGGUGACAAACCGGAGGAAGGUGGGGAUGACGUCAAAUCAUCAUGCCCCUUAUGACCUGGGCUACACACGUGCUACAAUGGACGGUACAGAGGGCUGCAAACCCGCGAGGGGGAGCCAAUCCCACAAAACCGUUCCCAGUUCGGAUUGCAGGCUGCAACUCGCCUGCAUGAAGCCGGAAUCGCUAGUAAUCGUGGAUCAGCAUGCCACGGUGAAUACGUUCCCGGGCCUUGUACACACCGCCCGUCACACCACGAGAGUUUGUAACACCCGAAGUCGGUGGGGUAACCCUUACGGGAGCCAGCCGCCGAAGGUGGGAUAGAUGAUUGGGGUGAAGUCGUAACAAGGUAACC